ACACGACUACAUUAGAUACCCCUGUAGUCCUAGCCGUAAACGAUACUCGCUAGGUGUCGGCCACGGUGCGACCGUUGUCGGUGCCGUAGGGAAGCCGUGAAGCGAGCCACCGUGGGAAGUACCGGCCGCAAGGCUGAAACUUAAAGGAAUUGGCGGGGGAGCACCACAACGGGUGGAGCUUGCGGUUUAAUUGGAUUCAACGCCGGAAAUCUUACCGGGACCGACAGCAACAUGAAGGCCAGGCUGAAGACUUUGCCGGAUUAGCUG
rnacentral:rRNA from 1 species